AUGAACGCUGGCGGCGUGCCUAAUACAUGCAAGUCGAGCGAACAGACGAGGAGCUUGCUCCUCUGACGUUAGCGGCGGACGGGUGAGUAACACGUGGAUAACCUACCUAUAAUACUGGGAUAACUUCGGGAAACCGGAGCUAAUACCGGAUAAUAUAUUGAACCGCAUGGUUCAAUAGUGAAAGACGGUUUUGCUGUCACUUAUAGAUGGAUCCGCGCCGCAUUAGCUAGUUGGUAAGGUAACGGCUUACCAAGGCGACGAUGCGUAGCCGACCUGAGAGGGUGAUCGGCCACACUGGAACUGAGACACGGUCCAGACUCCUACGGGAGGCAGCAGUAGGGAAUCUUCCGCAAUGGGCGAAAGCCUGACGGAGCAACGCCGCGUGAGUGAUGAAGGUCUUCGGAUCGUAAAACUCUGUUAUUAGGGAAAAACAAAUGUGUAAGUAACUAUGCACGUCUUGACGGUACCUAAUCAGAAAGCCACGGCUAACUACGUG
rnacentral:rRNA from 1 species